rnacentral:lncRNA from 1 species
UUGUCUAUUCCAGCUGAACCAGGCCAACAAUGAAGAAGUUAUAGAUAUUGAUGAAACACAUGACAAUUUGCAUGACAUUUCAUCCGAUGGAAGUGGAGAUUCUGACAAUGAUGAAGAGGAAGAAGAA